GCCGUGUAGCGUACGGAUAAGGCGAAAGCUUUGUUUAUAAUUGUAUUAAAACUGCUCAGCCAGAUAAAAUUGGUGAAUGUAGUGAAGGAUGUCAAUCAUUCCCGCUGCUACGCAGCUAAUUUCAUAAGUAAAUGCCAUAAACAGCAAAAAAUGAAAAAAGACGAAGAAGAAGUAAUUCUUUCUGUUCGAGAUCAACGGAUUUCGGUCGCAGGAGCGUGUUUUUGUGAAGUGCAUUUUGAAGAAAACCAGUUUGAAUGUUCUAGGAAAGAUGGGUUUAAAAAACUAAAGCCUUGUUUAAUGUGCCUAAUCCAACACAACUGUUGACCCCACAGCAUGUAAAAGGCAUUGGGUUUACCAAACUACCAUUCAAUGAUAUCCAGUUUUUAAAAUGUAUGUUUUUUUUUUAAGUUUUAUAGUUUUCAUAAAAAAUGUUUCAUAUUAAAAAUGGACCAAUUUGUUUUAUAAAUAAAUCAAAAUAUUGAAAUUCAGGCAUUAUAUGAUUAAGCUUUAAUUUCAGUGCUUAAGAAUAGAUUAAAAAUUGAAAUUUUUAAUAGAUAAUAAUUCAUAAUACUGUUUAAAUUUUGCUGUUAUAUAUAUAUAAUUAAAUGUGUAUUUUAUUAUAAUAAUCAUAUUUAAAAUGAGGCAUAAAAGCAACCUCAAUUUGAUAUAGUUUUUGAUUAAAAUUACUGAUUUCGAGGCCUAUCAGACACAGGUCUCAUUUCUUCAGAUUUGCCCCUAAA